GUACAUCAUUUUCAUUCUAUAUUGAACUGGAGCCAGAGGUUCUCGUAUCUUCCGCCCUGCAACCAGGGUAAUAUAGAGUACUGCUAUGAUGGUUAUGCAUUCUGUUUAUAAUUUGAUUAUUUGUACACUCACGUAAUGUUUCUGACCAGUAUUAAAAUGCAUGUCAUGCUCUUGUUUUCCACUUCGCCCGUAACGAAUAAAAAAAAUUUCAAUUAAAUUUUGAGUGAAUGUUGAUUGGUUAACACCAAUGCCAAAAUGUGAAUUUAUCAACCUAUUUUCAAUCUACGCAUGCUCGCCAGAACGUUUCGGUAAGGUAUGGGCGAAGUCGGAGGUGGAAAACAGAUAUAUAUAUAUAUAUAUAUACCUAUUACCUAAUCAACAAAAUUUUGAUCUAGACAAGUCUACACAAAAAUUUUAUCACAGCUUGAAAGAGCAUCACAAAAUUAGUAAUAUUUCGAAGUUUCGUUGCGAAAUGUUGUAAAAUGCGGAUAAUAUAGCCCUGCGAAGUUUGCCGUUUUUCAGUCAUUUUG